rnacentral:lncRNA from 1 species
AAACCUCCCCAGCAUUAAGGCAAGAAAGGUGUCUCUGUUUUUUCCGAAGUGUGCCUGCUUGACUCCUUUGAUUUUUCUCUGGGAUUCUUCAUCCUCCAUCAAGUUGAUCGAUCCCUCUGGAUCUUGGUCAGUUUCCUGACAUCUCUAUGAAGUUCAGUGACCCAGACUGAGUCCACGUCUCAAAUAAGAGUGAAUUCUCAAUAAAUGUUAACUGAACUAUGUAACGGAACUGUUACCAGAAAGGGGUCCCGAUCCAGACACCAAGAGAGGGUUCUUGGAUCUCACGCAAGAAAGAAUUCAGGGGAACAACAAUAGCAGAGGCCUUUGUUGCCCUCUCCGCGAAACUGCCCAGUAACCUGGCAUUAGACGGGUCCCUGGCUGACCUGAUAAAGAAGCUCCCUGUACAAACAUCAAUUAAUGCAGGCAGCACAUCAAAGCAUUGUGGAGACAUGUCUGUGCCUCCCUCCAGACCAUCAAUUCUCAACUCAGGCUGCUCGUUAGACAUACCUGAGGAGCUUUCGAAAGAAACCAGUGCCUAGACCCCAUGCACAGAGAUUUUAAUGUAAUUGGUCCAGAUGAAGCCCCAGCAUAACUAAUCUGUAAAAGCUCCCCAAGUGAUUUGAAUGUGCAGGGUGUUUUGAGAACCCUGCCAUAGACCCAGCACCUUAAGAACCCUGUCUAUGUCCCCUUCAACUAGCACAUAAGGCUCACAGGAAAUCCUCACUGAAUGAAUAAACAAAUAAAUGGAUGGCAGAGAAUUUCUGCUCCAAUUCUGCAGCCCCUAGUGGGCAGUGUGCACUGUCCUAAGUGUGGUUCCUCCUUCCCCCCAGAUCUCCCUCCUUCACCGAGUUUGCACUCAGACUCCCUUAAUUAACCACAUCUGCAGCUCCAGCUGGGCUCCUGCUUCUCCCACAGCUGCUGUGCUGGACACCCUAGUUCCACUCUUUUCCUGGAAGCUGCCCUAGUCUUAGAAGGAAAUAACCCUCCAUCAACAGCCAGGCUCAAUUCUUGUGCCUCAGUUAAAGCCCCUGCCCAGUGUGAGAGAGGAACAGGGGGAAAGGGAGGAUUGCUCAGCUUUCUGUCCCACAUUCAGCUACAGUCCCGAAAUGGACACCAAGUAGCCAGCAGCAGAGUGUCCGGCCCUCAGAGAAAAGGUUUGCUUGUUGCUUCUCCUGCCUAAGUGUAGAAAGUUAUCUGAUUCCUUAGACAAAUGUGAGUCUGCAAAAUUCCCCUGUUGACAUCACAGGAAUAAGUCUGUGGUGAGUACAUCCUCAGAGAUGAUAUCAUCUGGCAUCCUACCAUCUGGUCUGGUCCCCAUCAUGCUUCUGAAACUGCUUGUUCAAAGGUAACCUACAGGGCCAGCCUCACAGGCAUGCGGCUGACGAGGUCCCACAAGACCUCAUGCCCUGUGCUCACAAGAGCUCUGCACUUGGUUUUACACUCUGCUGCUGUCGUCAUCUUAAAAUUCUUUUUUAUUUUU